rnacentral:rRNA from 1 species
GAGUGUUUAAAGCAGGCUCACGCUUGAAUACAUUAGCAUGGAACAAUGAAAUAGGACAUCCGAUUCUAUUUUGUUGGUUUCUAGGAUCGAUGUAAUGAUUAAUGGGGAUAGUUGGGGGCAUUAGUAUUCAAUUGUCAGAGGUGAAAUUCUUGGAUUUAUUGAAGACUAACUACUGCGAAAGCAUUUGCCAAGGAUGUUUUCAUUAAUCAAGAACGGAAGUUAGGGGAUCGAAGACGAUCAGAUACCGUCGUAGUCUUAACCAUAAACUAUGCCGACUAGGGAUCGGAUGAUGUUAAUU